rnacentral:misc_RNA from 1 species
GUUCUUCUGUAAAGGUUAGUUUUGAAAUACAUUUUUUCCUUUGCCCUUGGUUACUAAACUAAUGAAAUAAAUAUUGUGCUUAAGAUGAGUUAUAUAUCAUUAAUGCAAAGCUUGUGAUUCCUAAAAUGCUACUUUUAUAUAUUAGAAUUUAUAUAUGGCUGAUUCUAUUUUUAAUAAUUUGGGCUGUUAAAUAUGUGGAAUCAGGAGCCAUGAUUGCCAAAUUUGGCUAAAGUUUUAAAUCUUAAAAAACAAUCGAAAGCUAAAAAUCUGAAUCUAAAUCCACCAUGAGAUAUAAUUGUCACAUAGAAAUAAGAUGUUUAUCAAAGUAUUUUU